rnacentral:ncRNA from 1 species
AUUCCAGAAGUGAUAUGGGUAUCCCAUAUCCCUCAGGCAGCAAGCGAAGGUGUCAUUGGCACCCGUGGCAUAGUCCCCCCGACCAUGCCACGAUCUUUUUUU